rnacentral:rRNA from 1 species
UUAAAUUGAAGAGUUUGAUCAUGGCUCAGAUUGAACGCUGGCGGCAGGCCUAACACAUGCAAGUCGAACGGUAACAGGAAACAGCUUGCUGUUUCGCUGACGAGUGGCGGACGGGUGAGUAAUGUCUGGGAAACUGCCUGAUGGAGGGGGAUAACUACUGGAAACGGUAGCUAAUACCGCAUAACGUCGCAAGACCAAAGAGGGGGACCUUCGGGCCUCUUGCCAUCGGAUGUGCCCAGAUGGGAUUAGCUUGUUGGUGGGGUAACGGCUCACCAAGGCGACGAUCCCUAGCUGGUCUGAGAGGAUGACCAGCCACACUGGAACUGAGACACGGUCCAGACUCCUACGGGAGGCAGCAGUGGGGAAUAUUGCACAAUGGGCGCAAGCCUGAUGCAGCCAUGCCGCGUGUAUGAAGAAGGCCUUCGG